rnacentral:rRNA from 1 species
CCUACGGGAGGCUGCAGUCGAGAAUCAUUCGCAAUGGGCGAAAGCCUGACGAUGCGACGCUGUGUGAGCGAUGAAGGCCUUCGGGUCGUAAAGCUCUUUCGCUUGGGAACAAGAGAGGUAAGCUAAUAACUUACUAAUUUGAGGGUACCAGGUAAAGAAGCACCGGCUAACUCCGUGCCAGCAGCUGCGGUAAUACGGAGGGUGCAAGCAUUAAUCGGAUUUAUUGGGCGUAAAGGGCGCGUAGGCGGGAAAAUAAGUCGGGCGUGAAAUCCCGG